rnacentral:lncRNA from 1 species
UUUACCUAUGCAGCUCCUGACAUAAUCAAAACAAAAUUCCAGCAUCUGAGAGACUUGGGGGUACAUUCUAAGAGAGAACAACACCCUAGCAAAAGCACUGUUUACUGCUCAGAGCCCUGGAGGAACUGGUUCUGCAGACUGCUGACCCCAGGGGAUGUCUGACACAAGGGCGCCCGCAGAGCUCAUUUAACUUAAUGCCCUUCCUCUACAGUUCAGCAAACAUGAUCAUCCUAAGCUCAAAGCUACCACAGCUUUCCAGAAAAACACCCAAGUGGUUUGCUGAUCAAAAAUUCUCUGAUUCCAAAG